AAACCUGCGAAACUCGAAUGAACGAACGGAGAGAUUCAUCGUCACUCCGCGGCGUACGCGCUCGCGCUCUGAUGACGUCCGUCCCUUAAUCGGGUAGCGGGCGUCACGGGACGGGCGCGUCGACGUUCGCGGACGGCGUGCACUUCUCUCUCAGUAAUACAUCGCGACCCGUUCGACGUCGGUCUAAGCGCCUCUCGGGAGUCCAUUCGUCCCUUCAAAACGGACGGGUGGACCGGGACGGUGGCCGACCGGCCGUCGGACGGUAGAAGACACGAAUCGCGCACGCGCACAUUCUAAAGCGCGUCCGGCCCGACGCAAGACAACGUCGUCAUCGAGGUCCUGCCGUUGCGCGGACAUCUUUGCGGCGCGUCUGUUGUCGCUGCCGUGCAGUCUCGGACCGUGCGCGUCUCAGUCGGCGAUGAUUCAGUUUCGGGCACUCGCAGGAC
rnacentral:rRNA from 1 species